rnacentral:rRNA from 1 species
AUUGAACGCUGGCGGCAGGCUUAACACAUGCAAGUCGAACGGUAACAGAAAGCAGCUUGCUGCUUUGCUGACGAGUGGCGGACGGGUGAGUAAUGUCUGGGAAACUGCCCGAUGGAGGGGGAUAACUACUGGAAACGGUAGCUAAUACCGCAUAACGUCGCAAGACCAAAGAGGGGGACCUUCGGGCCUCUUGCCAUCGGAUGUGCCCAGAUGGGAUUAGCUAGUAGGUGGGGUAACGGCUCACCUAGGCGACGAUCCCUAGCUGGUCUGAGAGGAUGACCAGCCACACUGGAACUGAGACACGGUCCAGACUCCUACGGGAGGCAGCAGUGGGGAAUAUUGCACAAUGGGCGCAAGCCUGAUGCAGCCAUGCCGCGUGUAUGAAGAAGGCCUUCGGGUUGUAAAGUACUUUCAGCGGGGAGGAAGGGAGUAAAGUUAAUACCUUUGCUCAUUGAC